UACGAAGGGGGCUAGCGUUGCUCGGAAUCACUGGGCGUAAAGCGCACGUAGGCGGAUUGUUAAGUCAGGGGUGAAAUCCUGGAGCUCAACUCCAGAACUGCCUUUGAUACUGGCGAUCUUGAGUCCGGGAGAGGUGAGUGGAACUCCGAGUGUAGAGGUGAAAUUCGUAGAUAUUCGGAAGAACACCAGUGGCGAAGGCGGCUCACUGGCCCGGUACUGACGCUGAUGUGCGAAAGCGUGGGGAGCAA
rnacentral:rRNA from 1 species